CAGUAGCCGCGGGAAUACGUAGGGUGCGAGCGUUAAUCGGAAUUACUGGGCGUAAAGCGUGCGCAGGCGGUCGCGUAAGACAGGUGUGAAAUCCCCGGGCUUAACCUGGGAACUGCGCUUGUGACUGGCGGGCUCGAGUACGGUAGAGGGGGGUGGAAUUCCUGGUGUAGCAGUGAAAUGCGUAGAGAUCAGGAGGAACACCGAUGGCGAAGGCAGCCCCCUGGGCCUGUACUGACGCUCAUGCACGAAAGCGUGGGGAGCAAACAGGAUUAGAUACCCCCGUAGUCUGUCUCUUAUACAC
rnacentral:rRNA from 1 species